rnacentral:rRNA from 1 species
CAGUCGCCGCGGUAAUACGAAGGGUGCAAGCGUUACUCGGAAUUACUGGGCGUAAAGCGUGCGUAGGUGGUGGUUUAAGUCCGUUGUGAAAGCCCUGGGCUCAACCUGGGAAUUGCAGUGGAUACUGGGUCACUAGAGUGUGGUAGAGGAUAGUGGAAUUUCCGGUGUAGCAGUGAAAUGCGUAGAGAUCGGAAGGAACAUCUGUGGCGAAGGCGACUAUCUGGGCCAACACUGACACUGAGGCACGAAGGCCAGGGGAGCAAACGGGAUUAGAUACCCCGGUAGUCCCUGUCUCUUAUAC